UUUUUUUAAAAUAUAUUAUUGUGGGAACAAGUACGGAAUCUGCAGGUGUGGUGGCUGAGCCAGACACCAGAGAUAUCCUUGGCCUUGUUGGCCGCAAGCCA